ensembl:lincRNA
ACAGGAGCGGCUGGUGGGGCUGUGUCCAGAUCGCGCGGGGCGUCGAGCUCAGAGUCCGAUGCUCGGCGCGGGCACGCGUAGGUGUGCGCACGGUGGCGAAGUCCCAGCCCGGCGUUGCCGGGGUGGCCGAGGAAGAGCGACUCCUUCCGGCGCGUGUGCGGGCUCUCGAGCAGCGCGCAGAAGCCGUAAACGGUGCGCGCGCGGGGCAGGUGCGGCAGCGAGAGCGCAGCCUGGGAGCGCGGGUCCCAGUCGGUAAGGCCCGCGCAGUCGUCGUCACUGUCCUCACGGUCGUCAGGGAUGCGCGGCCACAGGUCCGGUUCGGCUGCGCAGCGCCAAGGCAGUGCGGCAGCGGCAAGCGGUGAUUCGAGAGCGCCGGGGACCUGCAGCCGCGGGGGGAUGCAGAACUCUGGUAUUCGGCCCGGGGUGAGCACGUUGGAGAAGGCAGGCUCAGGAGUGGAGGAGCGGAGUCGACCGAGAAGCCUCAUCCUUCUAGCUUAUGUCCGAGAGUGGCGGAUACACGAGCGUCUGCAACACAGAGAAAAACUGUUGAAUUUGGGCUCCUGAAGUCCAGUGGAUCCUUUCUUUGACCCUCUGAAAGCACCCACAAAUCUAGGGCUUCUAGUCAGCACGAAUCAACCUUUGGAGCACCCUCAUGUUAACUAAAACUAUAUAUAUGAAUAUAUAGAAAUCAGACCUUUUCUUCUUCAGUCUCGUUGGGUCGGAUUAGUCGCAGGAACAAAGCAGGUGACGUGUAGCUCACAGGUAGGGCUCCACCUUCAGCACUGCAGCUGUGACAGUGGCGCUCCGGCCUUUUACCUUAGCGGGAGUCACGCCCAGGUGCCAAGAGGCCAAUCCGAAGAGGUAGCAGACAGAGCCCGCCUUUCAGCCGUCCCUUCCCACUAAAUCUUCCGUUGCUCGCUGUAAAGGUGUCUCAGGAGCUGGCUCUGGGACUUACUUUGGCUGUCCCUUAGCUGGAGCGCCAUUUACAGGUGCAGCAGAUGAGUAAAGGGCAUCCCGUCACCAUGCGAAAGAGAAUUUGGUAGUUCAAAGUGUUUGUGGCCUCUCAGAGAAGGUGAGGAAGGAUGAAGAAACGUGAAGUUGAAUUUAGCGACUAAGUAAAUCCGAUCCUCCCACUGGGCACCUGACUCAUACGUUCCACUGGCUUCUAUUUUUCAAGAUGCAUACCUGUUUCCAAGUACAGACUAAACUUGGCAUGUCCGUUUAGGAUGGGGUUAUGUGCAAAACGUUUUUGCGAAAUUGAAAACGCAUUAGUCAGCCCACGUUUAACAUAUCCAGACGGCUUGGAUUCGACACUGGACUAAAAGGUUGGAGUAGUUCUGCAUUCACUUUAAUUCAAAAAUCGUAGAUCCUAAGUCCCAGGGUAGCACCUUAUUUAGCCUCUGUCUCCCUCUGCUGGAUUAGCCUCUGUCUCCCUCUGCUGGACUGUCCUUGAUAUCACCGUGGUCUGGGCUACCAGGUGCCCUAAGUACUGGUGACUUGGGUAAAUAAAUAAAGUGCAAAAUCUUC